rnacentral:rRNA from 1 species
UACGUAGGGUGCGAGCGUUAAUCGGAAUUACUGGGCGUAAAGGGCGCGUAGGCGGCCUGCUAAGUCGAACGUGAAAUCCCCGGGCUCAACCCGGGAACUGCGUCCGAUACUGACAGGCUUGAAUCCGGGAGAGGGAUGUGGAAUUCCAGGUGUAGCAGUGAAAUGCGUAGAUAUCUGGAGGAACACCGGUGGCGAAGGCGGCAUCCUGGACCGACAUUGACGCUGAGGCGCGAAAGCCAGGGGAGCAAACGGGAUUAGAAACCCGAGUAGU